CCUACGGGUGGCAGCAGUCGAGAAUCAUUCACAAUGGGGGCAACCCUGAUGGUGCGACGCAGCGUGGAGGAAUGCAGGUCUUCGGGUUGUAAACUCCUGUCAUGUGGGAGCAAAUUAAAAAGAUAGUACCACAAGAGGAAGAGACGGCUAACUCUGUGCCAGCAGCCGCGGUAAUACAGAGGUCUCAAGAGUUGUUCGGAAUCACGGGGCGUAAAGCGUGCGUAGGCUGUUUCGUAAGUCGGGUGUGAAAGGCGGGGGCUCAACCCUCGGACUGCAAUUGAUACUGCGAGACGAGAGGAAUGUAGGGGUAACCGGAAUUCUCGGUGUAGCAGUGAAAUGCGUAGAUAUCGAGAGGAACACUGGUGGCGAAGGCGGGUUCCUGGACAUUAACUGACGCUGAGGCACGAAGGUCAGGGGAGCGAAAGGGAUUAGAUACCCCAGUAGUC
rnacentral:rRNA from 1 species